rnacentral:rRNA from 1 species
GAGGCUACUACGUGCCAGCAGCCGCGGUAAAACGUAGGUCACAAGCGUUGUCCGGAAUUACUGGGUGUAAAGGGAGCGCAGGCGGGAAGACAAGUUGGAAGUGAAAUCCAUGGGCUCAACCCAUGAACUGCUUUCAAAACUGUUUUUCUUGAGUAGUGCAGAGGUAGGCGGAAUUCCCGGUGUAGCGGUGGAAUGCGUAGAUAUCGGGAGGAACACCAGUGGCGAAGGCGGCCUACUGGGCACCAACUGACGCUGAGGCUCGAAAGUGUGGGUAGCAAACAGGAUUAGAUACCCUGGUAGUCCACACCGUAAACGAUGAUUACUAGGUGUUGGAGGAUUGACCCCUUCAGUGCCGCAGUUAACACAAUAAGUAAUCCACCUGGGGAGUACGACCGCAAGGUUGAAACUCAAAGGAAUUGACGGGGGCCCGCACAAGCAGUGGAGUAUGUGGUUUAAUUCGACGCAACGCGAAGAACCUUACCAAGUCUUGACAUCCUGUGACGGAGAUAGAAAUAUGACUUUCCUUCGGAACGCAGAGACAGGUGGUGCAUGGUUGUCGUCAGCUCGUGUCGUGAGAUGUUGGGUUAAGUCCCGCAACGAGCGCAACCCUUAUGGUCAGUUACUACGCAAGAGGACUCUGGCCAGAUGC